ACUCCUACGGGAGGCAGCAGUGGGGAAUUUUGGACAAUGGGCGCAAGCCUGAUCCAGCCAUGCCGCGUGAGUGAAGAAGGCCUUCGGGUUGUAAAGCUCUUUCGGCCGGGAAGAAAUCGUGGUCUCUAACAUAGGCCAUGGAUGACGGUACCGGACUAAGAAGCACCGGCUAACUACGUGCCAGCAGCGCGGUAAU
rnacentral:rRNA from 1 species